rnacentral:rRNA from 1 species
CAAUAGCGUAUAUUAAAGUUGUUGCAGUUAAAAAGCUCGUAGUUGGAUGUCUGGCUCUCGCAGGAGCUGUCUGCCGAAAGGUAGCACGGCUCGGCGGGGCCAUCCUCUCGAGGACGGGGUGUGCCUUUAACUAGGUGUGCCUUUGGACUCGGGACCUUUACUUUGAAAAAAUUAGAGUGUUCAAAGCAGGCCGUACGCUUGAAUACAUUAGCAUGGAAUAAUGGAAUAGGACGUCGGGCCUAUUUUGUUGGUUCUAGGACCGUCGUAAUGAUUAAUAGGGACAGUUGGGGCCGUUUAUAUUCCGUAGUCAGAGGUGAAAUUCUUGGAUUUACGGAAGAUAAACUACUGCGAAAGCAUUCGGCAAGGAUGUUUUCGUUAA